AUGACAGUGAUGACACUGGGCAUCUCUGUAGGACUUCCUCUCAGGAUCAAGCUUUUUCAUAUAUAUCAUUCAGUUAAGACUCACAGGACUACGUGUCUUGGGGUUGCUGUUUUCCAGACAGUGAAACUGGGGAAACACCAUGAGUCAGAGUCAGGGGAUGACACUUCAGAACAAGGGGAAGUAAGAGCCGCGGAACUGUGGAAACUUCCACCCCAGGCCUUCCUCAGGGUUCAGAUGGGUGGUUUGACUUUCAUCUCGGGAAGUUGCUUUCAGCUUGAUAUGAAAUUGGGCAGCCAACUCCCUGCUGUACCGCCCCGUAAACCCCUGGGGCACUCAGUAGCUGCUGACCAAACACUGGAAAUACUAUUAGCAUUAAAAUUUCACUGCAGAAAAGCUCGGUUCUCGAACUGGUUCCUGAAGAAGCAGCAGCACCUGGGAACUUACACAGAGUGCCAAUUCUUGGGCCUCCCCGAGGAUUUAUGGAAUAGGAUCUCCUGGGGGUGGAUUCUGCAGUCUGCGCUUUUACAUAUUGCUGACCAGAGGAUUUUUUAUUUUUUAUUUUUUAUCAAAACUAACACAGGCACCACCAUGCCUGUGGCUGGCGGUUUGUUAUGUCAGUGGAUAUGGAAAUACCACGUUUGAAUAAAUAUCAACAACUUUUUUGCACCUAAUGCGUUUGAGUUGCUGUAUGUCUUACUAAAGCAUCCAGUGUUUUGUUAGAGGGUGAUAGGCUGUAAAUGGCACCCCACUCCAGUAUUCUUGCCUGGAGAAUCCCAUGGAUGGAGGAGCCUGGUAAGUUGCAGUCCAUGGGGUCACUGAGAGUCAGACACGACUGGGCGACUUCGCUUUCACUUUUCACUUCCAUGCAUUGGAGAGGGAAAUGGCAGCCUACUCCAGUAUUCUUGCCUGGAGAAUCCCAGGGACAAGGGAGCCUGGUGGGCUGCCGUCUAUGGGGUUGCACAGAGUUGGACACGACUGAAGUGACGUAGCAGCAGGCUGUAUAGCAGGCAACUGUCUGCAGAGCAGGCUAUUACAAAUACACCAUGUUUCACUGUGCUUUCCCAGUCUGUGGAAGAGCAGGCUACACUUACGGGCAGCACUUUUUUCUAAAGUUCUGUGGGUAUUUAUUAUUUCCUCUAGAAUAUUUUCAUUUAUUUUACCUGGCAGUUGACAAAGUGGAUCUUCGUGUUGGGGGGAAGGGCUCCUUUAGAAAUGAGAAAUUUUGUGAUGUGUCAUUUUUGAAAAUUCUGUGGUAAUAAACAUGUGUAUAAUAUAUACAAGGUUGUAACAAAAGCAUAACAGCAAAAUGUGAAUGAUAGUGACAAUGGAAAGUUUCAUAUAAUAAAGGCUUAAUCAGUUUUAAGGUCUAACAACUUUGCAGAGUGAUGUUAAUUAUAUCAUUCUCUAAGAACAUAUUGAUCCAUCUCUGGUCAUAAAUGUUCAAGUAACAAUAUGUCUCUGGUCAAUGAUGAAGCCUCAGGGAUUGUUUAGUGAGUGGCAGGUCCCCCUCCAGGGGGGGAUGGGAUGGCCAGUGGGGCUUCCUCCCAACCCUCUGGGGCAGGUGUUCCCAUCCCUCUGCUGGCUGCUGGAGGCAUGGGAGUGGGGGCUUGUUCUCUGCUUGCCUGGAUGCACAGGUGCUGAGCAUUUGUUAAGCACUUGGUGGGGGUGCUGAUCAUUUAGUCUCCCGUUGAAGAGGCCCCAUCACAUAAACCCUUUAGUUGAGAGGCAGAUUUGGUGUUUUUAAUUCAUGUACCCAGGGUACCCAGGGUAUGCUGAUAAGAAUGUGCCUUUGCAGAAAUAAGCCAAUUUACACUAUAGUGUUAGCACAUGGCAGGAGUUUUAAGGAUAGGCUAAGAGGAUAGAAUUUUGAGUGGGGGGGGUGAGGACUGUGUGUUGCUGCCCUCUUAAUCCUUGUUCUAGGAAGGACACCUUGAUCUUCAUUGUUACACUUUUUAAAAGAUUCACCCACAGUUUGCGUUGGGGAACCAGACCGGAGCCAUGGCAGGCUCAACAGGUUGCACUAGGCCUAGCUUUUGAAUUCCUGUAAACCUGGGUCAUGAUUCCGGGAGACUACCCCCUAGGAGGGUCCCACUCACCCUAAGAUGAAGGGCCUGAGCUACUCCAUCUUGUAAAAGAAUUCCAUCCCACAAGGUCCCGGGCAAAAGAACUUUGGACGUUACCCAACCUGAGCCCACUACCCAUAGCCAAUCAACCCUCAGAUUACCUAACCUAGCCCCACUGUACACAAGCUAAUUGGCCGCUAGGCUAAACCUUCUGACUUUACGUUCAGGAGCUUGUGAUUUACCUUGGAAGUAAAAACCAAUCAAGAAUCUACACACAAGUCCUAUGGAUGGAAGUGACCAACCAGUUAUCUGUCAACUUAAACACCCCCUAAAGUGGCCAAUCAGUUGUCCUCUUGCCUGAACACCCCCUUUUGUACCCUUUUACCUGAAUAAAUUCCCUAUAAAAGCAGUGCAGCCCAAGACUCGGGGCUCCCUCCCUAUAGCCGCUGCGUCGGUGCCGGUGGGAGCCCUAGCUCGAGCUAGCAAUAAACCCCUUUAUGCUUUUGCAUUGCCGUGGACGUCUUAGUUCUCUCAGUUUUGGGGACUCGGACUUCGGGCAUAACA
rnacentral:lncRNA from 1 species